GACGAACGCUGGCGGCGUGCCUAAUACAUGCAAGUUGAGCGAUGAAGAUUGGUGCUUGCACCAAUUUGAAGAGCAGCGAACGGGUGAGUAACGCGUGGGGAAUCUGCCUUUGAGCGGGGGACAACAUUUGGAAACGAAUGCUAAUACCGCAUAACAACUUUAAACAUAAGUUUUAAGUUUGAAAGAUGCAAUUGCAUCACUCAAAGAUGAUCCCGCGUUGUGUUAGCUAGUUGGUGAGGUAAAGGCUCACCAAGGCGAUGAUACAUAGCCGACCUGAGAGGGUGAUCGGCCACAUUGGGACUGAGACACGGCCCAAACUCCUACGGGAGGCAGCAGUAGGGAAUCUUCGGCAAUAGACGAAAGUCUGACCGAGCAACGCCGCGUGAGUGAAGAAGGUUUUCGGAUCGUAAAACUCUGUUGGUAGAGAAGAACGUUGGUGAGAGUGGAAAGCUCAUCAAGUGACGGUAACUACCCAGAAAGGGACGGCUAACUACGUG
rnacentral:rRNA from 1 species